UACAGAGGGGGCAAGCGUUGUUCGGAAUUACUGGGCGUAAAGGGCGCGUAGGCGGCCUUCUAAGUCGAACGUGAAAUCCCCGGGCUCAACCCGGGAACUGCGUCCGAUACUGGGAGGCUUGAAUCCGGGAGAGGGAUGUGGAAUUCCAGGUGUAGCGGUGAAAUGCGUAGAUAUCUGGAGGAACACCGGUGGCGAAGGCGGCAUCCUGGACCGGUAUUGACGCUGAGGCGCGAAAGCAUGGGGAGCGAACAGG
rnacentral:rRNA from 1 species